CCCUGUCUCAAAUAAAUAAAUAAGAAUUUAUGGUUCAUAGUCCGUUGAGAAUGUUGGGAGGGCAGCCUGGGGGAUCCGCAGAACUGAGCAACCUCCUUUUACAAAUCAGUGUACAGAGAACCCACUAGCUAAACCAAAGAGGAACAACUUUAUAAGAACAGACAACUAUUUAUCUACACAAAAGAAAAUCUUCCUACCAGUAUUAACGCUAUUAACAUCUUAGCAGCUUUUCCAUUAUGAAUCUGACAUUUCCUCCUUCUUCAAAUCCUAGUUGGAGUGCUUGUGAUUUUUUGAAAUGAGACGAUAAAGCCAUCAACACACAAUAAAAGCUAUGCACUAUCUAUAAUCAGGGGUCUCUCGAGUAUAUUUUAUGUUAAAGAAAAUAUUGAAUUACUAGACCUUCCCUUUUAAAUCCCCUAAAGCCUUCAGCUUUAGAAUAAAAGACUGAAACUCUUCUCUGGGAUCUUAAUUUUUAUGUGGCUUCUUAUUACUUUUUUAUCUCUUCUAAAACUCUAAAUCCCUUCAACAUAGCUUCGGCCCCUUCCACAGCUAAACUGGCAGCAGCAGGCUGAUCUUUUUAUUGGUGGGUAAUGGAUUUAGUUUGAUUGCUGACACGGGAACAAUGAGAGGAUAAACAAUUCCAUUUGUGGCCAUGAAAUUCCCCAUCUGUUGAGUGCAUUCAGGACUGCAGAGUGCUGGGCAGAGACACAUGAAUGAGCCUGCCACGCCUGAUGUUAAUGACAUCCGUCAUACAAGCUGAACAUGUGGCUUCAUAAAUUAAGAGCUAAUAGCAACUCUGGUUGCUUAUGUCAUUAACAAGCCAUCCGUUUAAAUACAUAAGAGUUUGCCAUAACAUUCAGCCUAGAGACCUGACUUGCAAUUCUGAUCUCACCAAAAAAACAGUAGUAAAAGAAGCCAAAAAAGCAUUCUUCUAAGAAAAAAAAAAAAACGUUUUCAGAUGUACAACCAAAUAUUUACAGAUGUGAUCAUACGAUGUCUGGAAUUGGUUACAAAAUAAAAUGGGAUGGGGGGGAGUGGGUGAAAGAUAGAUGAAAAAGCUUGGUUAGUGUGUAGGGUAGGGUACAUGAGCAAGGUGCUCAGAGCCAUCACAGUGAGGAACCAUGUUGCUUCUGAACAUCCUGCUCACCUGUAAACCAGGGAUUGGAAAAACACACUACACAAAAACUCAAAAAAAAUCAGGACUGAAAUACAACAUUAAUGUGGGUGAUUUAGCUCAAAAAAAGCAGUUGUAUGAUGGCUAUAAUGAAGAGUAUGAUUAUCCCACUUUAGAUGAAGAUAAAGAGUAGUUGAUGAGUUAGAUAACCAAAUGAGAGAAGGUAGAUUAUUUUUACAGGUAAAUUAUUGUUUAUUACCAUGUUGGUGACUUCUUCCCUGAACACUGGUUUCAUAUAUUAAAGUUUUUGUGCUGAGAACAGAUACCAAUAUAUUGUGUGAAAGACUUGAAGCAAGAGGUUAUAGUGAGAUGAAACUAACAGACUACAUUCAGUGUAAGAUUUUUCAAGUUAUUUAUUAAUAAGUCGCAGCAUCCUGCAAGGAAGAAAUUGUGCAUCAACUACCCAGCAAUAAACCAUAAGAGCUAGAAAAUAAUAUAGAUCAGAUCUUGAAAUGGAUUGAGCAUUGGACCAAAGAUGAUAACUCUUGACUUAUGAGACUAGCUACUUUACAAGCACUCUUGUUGAUCUCUCUCUGCAUAGAAAUUGCUCGAAAAUAAGUAACACUUUAUUAAAAUCAUG